rnacentral:misc_RNA from 1 species
GUAAUAAUGGAAAUCUAUAUUAAUUCAACAAGAAAGUGUGCUUUUAAAAUGGUAUAUGAAAAUAUAUUAUUGUAAAACAUUUGUAAUGAAUGUUGUCUAUGUACAACAUCUUGAUUGUUUAGUUGCAGAAACUUCAUCAAUAUUGACAAUUUCUUUUCCAAAAGGAAGAGUCAUUGUAGCACUAAUACAACUAUUUUCAUUCUUCUUAGCUUCUAAACUUUUCUGGCUUGUAAUUUCAUGAAUUUUAGUGAUCAUUAUUAAAAAUGCUUCUUCAACAUUCUUGUUCUCCAAAGCUGAUGUUUCCAUGAAACACAAACCUUCAGCUUCUGCAAGAUUCUUGCCUUCUCCUUCAUCAACUUCUCUUGAAUUACCCAAAUCAGAUUUGUUCCCAACAAGAACAACCACCAUGUCUGAGUUGCCAAAUUCCCUUAGCUCAUGUAGCCAUUUUGCCACAUUAUUGAAUGUUGCUCUUCUUGUUAUGUCAUAUACUAAUAAGGCUCCUAAUGCUCCUCUGUAAUAUGAACUUGUUAUUGCUCUAAACCUUUCUUGGCCAGCAGUGUCCCAAAUUUGAGCUUUGAUGAGCUUCUCACCAACUCUGAUAUUUCUGUAAGCAAAUUCAACACCAAUAGUUGGUUUUGAAUCUAAUCUAAAUUCAUCUCUUGAAAAUCUUGACAGAAGAUUUGAUUUCCCAACAGCUGAAUCCCCAAUUAGAACUGCUUUAAACAAGUAAUCACACUCCUCAUCAUAUGAAUCACCCAUCACCAUAACUUUCCCUUUCUUUCCCUUUUCCUUUUCCUUUUCUCCCAGAACAAACAAGAUCAAGAAAACGAAAGAGAUGGGAAGGAAAAGUUGAAAUUUUCAAGAAACCCAAGAACAAGAGGAUGAUGAUGAUAGGAUUGGUGGAAUUAUAAAGUCUUGGUUUCACAUCUAUAAAUUCCAAAACAGUCAUGUAUUACUAUAUAUAAAAUAAAAAUGUAGAUAUCAAACUGUGCUAAUAAUAAAUGUAAUUCUAUUGGGAUUAGCUAUGGUGGGCUUUGAGUGCUGGCAUGUGAAAGCCAUGGAUAAAGACAAGAUUUCUGCUCUCCCAUGAUGUUGCCAAGCAAGAAUUUUC